rfam:Capsicum annuum cultivar Zunla-1 chromosome 1, whole genome shotgun sequence
UCUGGUGUCCUAGGCAUAGAGGAACCACAUCAAUCCAUCCCGAACUUGGUGGUUAAACUUUACUGCGGUGACGAUAAUGUAGGGGAGGUCCUAUAAAAAAAUAUCUCGACGCCAGGA